rnacentral:rRNA from 1 species
CAGUACCUACGGGAGGCAGCAGUGAGGAAUAUUGGUCAAUGGGCUUACGCCUGAACCAGCCAAGUCGCGUGAGGGAAGACUGCCCUAUGGGUUGUAAACCUCUUUUGUCAGGGAGCAACGCCGGCUACGUGUAGCCGGACUGAGAGUACCUGAAGAAAAAGCAUCGGCUAACUCCGUGCCAGCAGCCGCGGUAAUACGGAGGAUGCGAGCGUUAUCCGGAUUCAUUGGGUUUAGAGGGUGCGUAGGCGGAAUGCCAAGUCAGCGGUAAAUUCGCGGGG